rnacentral:rRNA from 1 species
AUGGCCUGGGUGGAGAUGACCAUCCAUUCUCCUCCAGCAGCCUGCGGUCAAGAUCAUGCAGGUUCGGACCGAAGCUUCCUCCGGCUGUCCAGUACGUUGAGCAUGGCAGCGUUGGUGAUAAGGGUCAUCUUCCCAAGCGACCCAAGACGCUCACCGCUAUUGCCGCCGGCAGAUCACAAGGCCGAAGGAGGUUGGUGGUGGCGCCUUGGGACUUACAUCGGUUAA